rnacentral:rRNA from 1 species
AUGGCGACGGCGGCAACAUCUCGGCCCAGCGGUCCUGUCCUUUUGAGCCCCUUUCCCAACUACCAAUCCGCCUCGCUCUCCCGUGUCAAGCUCUCCGCCGCCGGCUCGGCGGUCAAGUCCGUCAGCGUCUCGUCUCCCCCCUCCUCCCCCACCGCCGCCCACAAGAUCCGUCGGUCCUGCAUGUGCUCCCCGACGAACCACCCCGGCUCGUUCCGCUGCAGCCUCCAUAAGGAGCGCAAGCAGGAGGUCCAAGCCGCCGGCAGCAAGCCCGUCUCCGCCCCUUCGUCGCCGCCCGUCGGCAGCGGCUGCUCUAGGCGCCAGGUCAGGGCGCUCCCGCAGCUCGUCCCCGUGGGGAGCGGGCACUGGGCACGCAGGGCGCUUGCACCGUCCCCCGCGGCGCAGCAGUCGCAACACCGGAAGCGCGCUGAGCGGUUCCGCGCCGGACCCAGCCGGCUAUCCGCCGUGUCCAUGGCUGGCGGCCGCGCAGGCAGCUACCAGUAA